UUAUUGUUUUGAAUCUUCUGGAUGUGUAAUGUUUACUGUUAAUUUUUAUUGUUUAUUUCAGUUUUGUAUAUUAUCUACCUCACUUGCUUUGGCAAUGUUAACACAUGUUUCCAUGUCUAACCAGGUUUCAUGUUGUAGUUGUUGGGUGCAGAGCUGACAGGCUGGGGGUCUAACCAGGUUUCAUGUUGUAGUUGUUGGGUACAGAGCUGACAGGCUGGGGGUCUAACCAGGUUUCAUGUUGUUGGGUGUAGAGCUGACAGGCUGGGGGUCUAACCAGGUUUCAUGUUGUUGGGUGUAGAGCUGACAGGCUGGGGGUCUAACCAGGUUUCAUGUUGUUGGGUGUAGAGCUGACAGGCUGGGGGUCUAACCAGGUUUCAUGUUGUAGUUGUUGGGUACAGAGCUGACCGGCUGGGGGUCUAACCAGAGCUGACAGGCUGGGGGUCUAACCAGGUUUCAUGUUGUAGUUGUUGGGUACAGAGCUGACAGGCUGGGGGUCUAACCAGGUUUCAUGUUGUUGGGUGUAGAGCUGACAGGCUGGGGGUCUAACCAGGUUUCAUGUUGUUGGGUGUAGAGCUGACAGGCUGGGGGUCUAACCAGGUUUCAUGUUGUUGGGUGUAGAGCUGACAGGCUGGGGGUCUAACCAGGUUUCAUGUUGUAGUUGUUGGGUACAGAGCUGACCGGCUGGGGGUCUAACCAGAGCUGACAGGCUGGGGGUCUAACCAGGUUUCAUGUUGUAGUUGUUGGGUGUAGAGCUGACAGGCUGGGGGUCUAACCAGGUUUCAUGUUGUUGGGUGUAGAGCUGACAGGCUGGGGGUCUAACCAGGUUUCAUGUUGUAGUUGUUAGGUGUAGAGCUGACAGGCUGGGGGUCUAACCAGGUUUCAUG